rnacentral:rRNA from 1 species
CAGCCGCCACGGGAAUACGUAGGUGGCAAGCGUUGUCCGGAAUUAUUGGGCGUAAAGGGCUCGCAGGCGGUUUCUUAAGUCUGAUGUGAAAGCCCCCGGCUCAACCGGGGAGGGUCAUUGGAAACUGGGAAACUUGAGUGCAGAAGAGGAGAGUGGAAUUCCACGUGUAGCGGUGAAAUGCGUAGAGAUGUGGAGGAACACCAGUGGCGAAGGCGACUCUCUGGUCUGUAACUGACGCUGAGGAGCGAAAACGUGGGGAGCGAACAGGAUUAGAUACCCCGGUAGUCCCUGUCUCUUAUAC